GGACUACCCGUCAGGGUUAAGGCCAUACGGACAGCCGGGUCCACUGCCGA
rfam:Clostridiales bacterium 44_9 Ley3_66761_scaffold_14483, whole genome shotgun sequence.